CCUACGGGAGGCAGCAGUAGGGAAUUUUCGGCAAUGGGGGGAACCCUGACCGAGCAACGCCGCGUGAACGAAGAAGUUAUUCGUAAUGUAAAGUUCUUUUAACAGGGAAGAAAGAGAAAUUUGACGGUACCUGAAGAAUAAGCUCCGGCUAACUACGUGCCAGCAGCCGCGGUAAUACGUAGGGAGCGAGCGUUAUCCGGAAUUAUUGGGCGUAAAGGGUGCGUAGAUGGCAUAGUAAGUCUUUGGUAAAAAUGCUGGGCUCAACCCAGUAGGUCAAAAGAUACUGCAAGGCUAGAGUAUGACAGAGGCGAGUGGAACGAGAGGGGUAGAGGGAAAAUGCGUAAAGAUAUGUAAGAACUCCAGGGGCGAAGGGGGCUGGCUGGGUCUAUACGGACAUUGAGGCACGAAAGCGGGGGGAGCAAACAGGAUGAGAGACCCGAGUAGUC
rnacentral:rRNA from 1 species